AUUUAAGCACAGACGUUUGAUACUCCACCGCUCUCUUCCCCAGCCUUGGUGAUCAUGGCAGGUUGCAUUGAUAUGGAAAUGUGAUAUGACUGAAGCAGGCUGGAAUUCCAAGCUGAAACAGAACACCACUUCCCUACAGAGUUAUCUGGGACCUCCAACAAAUUUUAUACAAUGCAAAUAGAGGCCGACAAGAAAGAUCAGCCUGUGGGAGCCCAGCACUCUCCUCCAACGUGUGGCUGAAUAGCAGUCAUGAGGAAAGGAUGAAGAUGUGGACAAUACCGGCUAAAGCAGAGUAGCCAGGUUAAGAUUAUACCUCUCAACGCUGAAUCACAUAAAUUAACACCAUCCCUUCAUGUUCCCGUAACGCCGCUUUCCAAUGGUAAGAGUCAUCCACUGGAUAGAGAACAAAGAUGCCAUUGUUGAAGGACUCCAGAUUUAAAAGCCCACAGAGAUGGAUAAAGAUGACACAGAGGCACAUUUAAUGGAACAGCGUAAAAGAGUAGGUGGUCACUUGCCCCUGAAAUGCUUCUCUGAACAGAUCCAUGUUGAAAGAAGAGGAGCAGGCUUUGAUACAAAUUAAUUGGCAGGCAUGUGAACCAGAGAAAGAAAACACAUACCUUUAGAAAAGAUGUGAGACGAUAAAAAGCAGGAAGUCAAACUUCCUAAGACAGAAGUCUGAAUCAGAGUUGAGCUGCUUUUUCCCAAACUGACUUGAACUUAUUAAAGUCUUGAAUCUGAACACCAGGACUGAAAGUUUCAGAAAAGCUCACUGAUUUUUAGUACUUUUGCUUGAAGCCAGAAAUGCAGCAAGGACAAAAAUACAGCAGGCAUGCUUUAUAUAUAUGCAUCCACCAUUUUAAUCUGAACCAAAGUGAAGAACUACUUAUCUGAACCCUGCAUUGCCUCCCAUGUUGGGACUCUGUUUCUCAAGGUAUUUACUUACCCACUUCUACUGUCCGGGGAAGAAGUGGACACUAGAUCCAAGAGGAAGCUGAAUUUUGGAAUGAUACUGUUAUUGUGGACAGUAGGAAUCACUAAAUUUCAUGCUAGUUUUUAAAACAUUUUCUAAAGUAGUAUCAAAAUAAUCAUGCACAUAAUAACUGAAAACAGAACAAAAUGCACCUGGGAAGUUUUGAUUUGAAAAUUACUUUGCUUACUUUUCUGGGUUUUUUUGUUUAUGAAAAAUAGCACUUCCUUGGCUCCCGCCUCUAAUUUUUUCCCUCCUGAAGGCAAUCAUUUGCAUCUCUUUUGAGUAAUUAUUUUAGACUAUCUAUCCCAGCUCUAAAUAAUAUGUUUAUACUAUUUUGAUUUUUCCAUGUGUUAUCUCCAAUUAUGGAAGACAAAGAUCUGCAUCCUCCUGCUCCUGCCACACACUGGGCCCUGUCCAUUUUCUCACCACUAAUAAAGUAAUACAAGGAAGAUCAACAAUCAUGGACUUCGAUAGUACAGUUAUAUAAAUACCAUCCAUAGAUGAGCUAUGACAUGAACUGUAUUCAUUUUUCCUUUCAUGCAUUUUUUAAUUUUCUCUGGAAGGUGAAGUAAUUUUGUUACUGUUUAAUCAUUUGCUUUGUGUUCUACAUAUUUACCACUAAUUCUAGCCCUAAUUCUGUCAGUUUCCUCAGUCUCCUCUCGGGACAAUCAGACACAUCUGAUUUCUAACAGUUUCAUCCUCCUGAAGAAGCCUGUCUUGGAUAUUUCUGACCUGCUCUAAUCCACACUGGUUUUCAUCUCUGCCUGAUGCACCACGCCUCUCCUGGGCUCUUCCUUCACAACCUCCUGGGGGCUUCCUUUGCCUCUCUCCUCUAGUGCAUUGCUCUUUCUGGUAUCCCUUGUUUUCCUCUAUAUUGGUCUUUUCCCUGACUUUUUUGGAGGGCAGUAGCUUUCCAAGAAAGAGUGCAUGAGGUAAGUAUUUUGGAAUCUUGCAUGUCUUAAACUGCCUGUAUUCUAUCACCACACUUGACUGAUCAUUCCUCUGCAACAGAAUUUCUAGAUUAGAAACAUUUUCCUCCAUAUUUUUAAAGAUGUUGCCUCCAGUGCCUUCUAGCUUCCUGGGUUAGUUAUUCUGAAAUUAUCCUGAUUUGGGAUACUUUGUAUUUGACUUGUUUGGUCUGGAUACCCACAGGAUCUUUCCUUUGUCCAGGGGGCCAAUCAAUGUGAUAUUUGUGCAGGAACAAAGAGAUCAGUAGAACGGAAUCGACAAUCAAGAAAUAGCAUCCCAUUAUAAAUGAUAAUAAAAUUUAAAGCAAAGUACUAUUUUUAAUUUAACAAGUAGAAAUGGUUUAUUUUGUGAGUAAUACUUAGAACUGGCUGGCUAUUCAUAUGGAAGAAAAUAAUGCCUAUCACAUUACUUUAAAAAAAUUACAGAUGCAUAGAGAUCAAGUGUAAAAUAUAAAUAAUUUUUUAUUUUUUAUUCUUUAUUUCAAUAGCUUUAUGGGUUUUGGUUACAUGGAUGAAUUGUAUAGUGGCAAAGUCUGGGAUUUUAUUGUACCCAUCACCUUACAUCCAUUAGGUGUACCUUAUAUCCAUUAGGUAGAUUUUUAUGUCUCUCCCCUGCCACCCUCCCCACUCCUGAGUCUCCAGUGUCCAUUAUACCACUCUGUAUGCCGUUGCAUACCCAUAACUUAGCUACCCCUUAUAAGUGAGAACAUGUGGUACUUGGUUUUCUAAGAAUUGUUUUUAAUCUUGGAAAAAAAUUCAAGAGACUACAUGUAAAAUACAGAAAUAGUAGAGACUUUCUUAACCAAGAGAGGAAGCCUGACAUUUAUCAAAAGGAUAUCUGGACAUAUUUAACUAUAUAAAAAUUUAAAAUUAUUUGGAUGAAGAAUUAUAAAGCAAAACACAAAUUAUAGACGUAAAGUAAAUAGACAAAAAAUACUUUAAAGUAAAUAGACAAAUGGUCUCAUAAAUUGACAAGAGAAAAACAGCAAAAUAGAAAAAUGGACAAAAGAAAUAAAUGAGCAGUAAGCUUCCCUAAAUACCCUCUCCUAUCCUGGCAAAAUAGCUUAUUUUUUAAAUUUUGGAGAUGGUAAAAUAAGAGGACACCAAGUGUAGUUGAGAAUGGGAUGGGGCAUCAUACUGAAAACAGAACAAUUCAUUAAAUGUAUCCAUACUAUACAUUAAGACUUCCAGAUUUUUCCCCCAUGCAGUUACCAGAAAGUUGGCGACAAAGCCUUUACUUUCCCUGAAGAGUUUUAGCAGGCCAAAAGACCUAAAACUAUUGACGUUAUAAUUUUCCACAACUAAACGGUCCAACUUGAUCUUCUCACAGUGCUGCUAACAGGAAUCACUGCUAGUCAGAAAAAUGCAAAUUCAAGUAACAAUGUGCAUGGAAAUUGGCCUUCCAGAGCACUGGCAACUGGAGGCAAAGAUCUUCU
rnacentral:lncRNA from 10 species